rnacentral:rRNA from 1 species
GAGCUCCUACGGGGGGCAGCAGUGGGGAAUAUUGCACAAUGGGGGAAACCCUGAUGCAGCGACGCCGCGUGAGUGAAGAAGUAUCUCGGUACGUAAAGCUCUAUCAGCAGGGAAGAAAAAAAGUCUUUGGCUUUGGACGGUACCUGACUAAGAAGCCCCGGCUAACUACGUGCCAGCAGCCGCGGUAAUACGGAGGAUGCGAGCGUUAUCCGGAUUUAUUGGGUUUAAAGGGUGCGUAGGCGGGCUGUUAAGUCAGCGGUCAAAUGUCGGGGCUCAACCCCGGCCUGCCGUUGAAACUGGCGGCC